GGUGAACGCUGGCGGUAUGGAUAAGGCAUGCAAGUCACGGGGGCCGCAAGGCAACCGGCAGACGAGGUAGUAACACGUAGGAACGUCCCCCAGAGUCUGGUAUAGCUCGCCGAAAGGCGGGGUAAUCCCAGAUGGUCUCGUAAGAGUAAAGGAGCAAUUCGCUCUGGGAGCGGCCUGCGUAAUAUCAGCUAGUUGGUGAGGUAAUGGCUCACCAAGGCUAUGACGUUUAGGGGACCUGAGAGGGUGACCCCCACCGAUGAGACUGAGACACGGCUCAUACCCCUACGGGGGCCGCAGCCGAGAAUAUUCGACAAUGGGCGAAAGCCUGAUCGAGCGAUACCGCGUGGUGGAUGAAGUGCUUCGGCACGUAAACAUCUUUUAUGAGGGAAGAAGUUAUUGACAUUACCUCAUGAAUAAGGGGCUCCUAACUCUGUGCCAGCCGCCGCGGUAAU
rnacentral:rRNA from 1 species